GGCAGCAGUGAGGAUUAUUGGGCAAGGGGCGAAAUCUUGACCCCCCCAUGCGGCGUGAAGGAAGACGGCCUUAUGGGUAUAUAAAUUUCUUUUUUAGGUGAAAAAAUUUUGUCCCGUGUGAUGAAUUGGAUGUACCGUAAGAAUAAGCCUCGGCUAACUCCGUCCCCGCCCCCGGGGUAAUACGGAGGGUGCGAGCUUUUUCCGGAUUUUUUGGGUUUAAAGGGUGCGCAGGCGGGUAAAUAAGUCAGGGGAGAAAUCCGGCCGCUCCCCCGUAAAUGCGCCUUUGAAACUGUUUUUCUUGAGUGUGGGAGAGGUGGGCGGAAUUUGCAGUGUAGCGGAGAAAUGCAUAUAUAUCGCGAGGAACACCGGUGGCGAAGGCACCUUUCUGGUCCAUAACUGACGCUCACGCACGAAAGCGUGGGGAUCAAACAGGAUUAGAUCCCCUGGUAGUCCACCCAGUAAACGAUGAUUACUCGGUGU
rnacentral:rRNA from 1 species